CGUAGGGUCCGAGCGUUGUCCGGAAUUAUUGGGCGUAAAGGGCUCGUAGGCGGUUAGUCGCGUCGGGAGUGAAAACUCAGGGCUCAACCCUGAGCGUGCUUCCGAUACGGGCUGACUAGAGGUAUGCAGGGGAGAACGGAAUUCCUGGUGUAGCGGUGGAAUGCGCAGAUAUCAGGAGGAACACCGGUGGCGAAGGCGGUUCUCUGGGCAUUACCUGACGCUGAGGAGCGAAAGCAUGGGGAGCGAACAGGAUUAGAUACCCUGGUAGUCCAUGCCGUAAACGUUGGGCGCUAGGUGUGGGGUCCUUCCACGGAUUCCGUGCCGCAGCUAACGCAUUAAGCGCCCCGCCUGGGGAGUACGGCCGCAAGGCUA
rnacentral:rRNA from 1 species